AUGAAGGUCAAGUUCAGAGUGAACAGAUUUGGUAGUGUUGGGUGCCUAGUCACUAGAGGUGUCUUCAACUAGGGCAAAGUACGUAUCGUUCUCAUCAAGGCUCCCUUCAUUGACCUCAGACACACAUUGUAUGUGUUUCACUAUCAUUCUACUCAUAGAAAUUUCUACCACAGAGAGAAACAGGAAAUUUGUCAUUAACAGGAAAGCUAUCUGAAUCUUGAAGGAGUGAGAUCCUGCCAACAUCAAAUUGGGUGCCGCUGAUAUUAAGUAUGUUGUGGAUUCCAGGGUUUUUAAAAUUACUGUCUCUGCAUCUUCUGCUGAUGCCCCCUUGUUUGUAAUGGGUGUGACCCAUGAGAAGUGUAACUACUCAUGCAAGAUUGUUAGCAAUGUCUCCUGCAUCACCAACUGCUUAGAAUGCUGGUCACCAUUGACUCAUGAGCAGAGUCUGUGCCGUUACCACCACCCAGACGACUGCACAUAGGCAACACUUCUAGGAAACUGUGGUGCAAUGGCCGUGGAACUGCCUAGAGCACCAUCUCUGAAUCCACUGGUGCUUCCAAGGCUGUGUGCAAAGUCAUCCCAGAGCUGAACAGGAAGCUCACUGGCGUGAUCUUUCAGUGGAUCUGACUUGCCAUCUGCAGAACGCUGACAAAUAGGAUGAUGUGAAGAAGGUGGUGAGGCUGGGGAUGUCGGGCUUUCUUAAAUGGCAUCCUAAGCUACAGGAGCUUGUCUCUUGCCACUUUAACAAUGAUGACUCUCACACGUCUACGUCAGAUGCUAGGGCUAUCAUUGACAUC
rnacentral:lncRNA from 1 species